CCGAUGAGGUGGAAACGGACAGAGCUGGCGUAUCUGGCCUGCAUUCAGCCGCCACGCGUCGGGCCCCGGUUUGCCGCACUCCAGAUUGGGAAGGUGGCUGGGCUGCUGGCGUGCUGGUGGUGCAUUUGCAGGUGGAGUGCGCUGAGGCGCUCGGCUCAGCGGCAUGAGCUCGGCUUUGAGGCCAACCGCGCAAGCGGUCUGGUACCCGGGUCGGGGGAGUGUUGUUUGGGCUGAGUGUUCGCUUGGGCACUGGUUUCGGGCCCGGGUGGGUGCCGAGCUGGCGGUCGACGGCGGUCGCAUGCGACACGUGUCAUCAGUCAGUUCGGUCCUGCUCGAGCUCUCGCGUGUCCGGCCUCGGUGUAAAAGCCGGUCAUCUGUCCGACCCGUCUUGAAACACGGACCAAGGAGUCUAGCGUGUGCGCGAGUCAUUGGGCGUUGAAAACCCAAAGGCGCAAUGAAAGUGAAGGUCUGCCUUGUGCAGCUGAUGUGUGAUCCUGGGCGCUGCGGUGCCUGGGCGCAACAUAGUCCCGUCCCGACUGCAUGCAGUGGGGCGGAGACAGAGCGUACGCGCUGAG
rnacentral:rRNA from 1 species